rnacentral:rRNA from 1 species
UACAACGUAGCGUUAAUGCACCAUAUCCCAUUAGAACUCCACAGUUAAACACACCCAGGCUAGAGUAGUAUUGGGAUGGGUGAUCGCCUGAGAAGUCCUAGUGUUUUAC